UACGUAGGGUGCAAGCGUUAAUCGGAAUUACUGGGCGUAAAGCGUGCGCAGGCGGUUUUGUAAGUCUGUCGUGAAAUCCCCGGGCUCAACCUGGGAAUUGCGAUGGAGACUGCAAGGCUAGAAUCUGGCAGAGGGGGGUAGAAUUCCACGUGUAGCAGUGAAAUGCGUAGAGAUGUGGAGGAACACCGAUGGCGAAGGCAGCCCCCUGGGUCAAGAUUGACGCUCAUGCACGAAAAGCGUGGGGGAGCAAACAGG
rnacentral:rRNA from 1 species